CCUUAGCGCUUUUUCCCCAUUUUGUUAAGAAAUUUCCUCUUAUGGGAUAUGGAGCAAUUCUCCAGCUCAUUUGACUCAUGGGGCCUAAUAUAUACUUCUGCUAUUGGUUGAUAACAUUAAGAUAAGGGAAGUAUUUUACAUGGCUGAGAGUUCAGGGCCAAUCCCACUCUCACAGAAUCCCAAUAUCUAGGGGUGAAGCACAGGAAUCUGUUUUGUAAAGAAGUCCCCCGAUUAUUCUGAUGUUAAACUAGAACAGCCCACUGGGCUUAUCCAUUCCUCCACAGCCUUCAGGCUAACUCCCACCAUGUUACACCUUCAUACUCUUAACAUGUCAGGCAAUCAACUCCAGCCCAACACUUGGGACCCCCCAGUCAUGACUUGCUAAGAAACAACCACAUCCCCUCUUGCUAUAAUUCAAGUUUCUAUUCAGCAUUCAGGGCCAAACAAUGUCAGUUACCCCUCUUGCACACUAUAGUAAUAUAGGAAAACAUUCAAGAGCCAUUUGUUUCAUACUUUUAUAAACAUCAAAAUUGCAAACUACACUGAUUGGAGAGUUGGACAAAUAAGAAUGGCACGACAGUUUUCUGUCUUGGAAUUUUACAGAUAUUGCCUGUGUUCAAGGGCUGUGCUGUACUAAGCAGUGGCUGCUGGCACAGGGAAAGGUGUAAUUCUCUCCUGGGUUGUAGGAGUUGCAGCUCAUGCAGAGAGUCCUCUGUGAUGGAGGCCAGUCAGCUUUUAUGGACUUCAGUGCUAUUUGCUCCAGUACCCUUUGAAAUGCAGGGUCAGCUCACUGAGCUACAUCGUGCAAUAAUAACACAUUUUUAUAGGAGUAGCUUGUCAGAGCAGCAACAACAUGCAAUACAUAAAACCAAUAAACACACCAUGUUACAGAGUCUAUCCUAGUAAACAGGUUAAAGCAAUAAAAUUGACAGCAGCCAUCAACAAGCUCCCUUUCUGACUUUGUGGGGUGAAUUUACUGUUGCUUAAAACAGAGGAGCUGUCACAAAGCCUUAGAUCAGUUACGGAGCAGCAAGCUGCAUCGCAUGGAAGGGAGCGGGCCUGAGAAGUGAAAGCAGGAUGGGCAAUUAUGCUUUGCUAAGGCCUGGGCCCCUUUCAUUGUUAGUGUGAUGUAAUUCACAUCAGAGGUUUUCUACAGAAUUGUUUCGUUUUUCCAAGUUACAUAUUAAAUAUUAUGGAGGGCAGUAUGUCUAUGGGUUGGUAAAUCAGCAAUUAGUAUUUUCCAUCUGCAGCUUAAAUCCCUAAGGCAAGAAAGAGCUUACCUGUGACAGAAUAUGCAGGGACUCAAUGGGUUGGUGCUGUCUAAGACUGGAUUCUUAGAGUUUGGACCUUCCACAUUUUACAUGGAAUCAUUUGGCUGGGAACCCUGAGCCAACCUCAGUCCAACAGAAUCUCAGUAUCUGGGGGUGAGGCAUAGAGGUUGCUUUGGAUUAGCUAGGUCAGAGAAGAAAUCCCUCAAAGGAGAAAAUAUUAGCACUGAAAUCUCAAGAUGAAGGAAGGAGCCAUUUGGAGGCCAAUGGCAGCAUCUUAGAGGCAAAGGAAAGAGCAAGUGUGAAGGCCUGAAAUCCCUGAGCAGAGAAGAGGUUCACCCACUGCUGUUCCCUGCCUGCCCUGCUUUUCCUGGGGGCGAAGAGACAAAAAGGAUGACCCCCAAGUUUUCACUCUGUUAUGAUGUCCCACUAGUAUGCCUUCAACUUAAGGACUAAUAUAUUCUGAUUGGUUGGAUCCAUUUUUAUUUUGUUAGCUUAUCAGAAUUUCAUAACUAUAAGUUACCAUCUCUAUCUCUACCCUAAAAUUGGUUAUUGAACAGAACAAUGCACCACUUGAGUCCAGGAGCUCCCGCCAAGCUUGUCUGGCAAUCAAGACUUCAGAAGAUACAGGCCUGUGUGAGUAUGGCCCUUUAAGCCUAAGUCAUGACAUUGCUCUUUGUCUAUCUGCAUUCAGUGGUUCAGGCCCCUGUCCAUGGCUGGUGUGACCUUUGGUGACAUCCCCAGCCUCAACAGAAACCACUUCUCACUAAGCCAGCUUUACUGUGUUCCCAACAGCUAGCAUGCAGGGAUGCCUUCUUCCUCAUUUUCACGUAAAUGUGCUAAUUCAAAUGCUCUCCGAAGCAAAUAGGCUUUUAAGGGCAAGCCUGAGAACCAAACCACGAUUUAUUUCACAGUUCUUCUGGAAAAGAGACUUCUAAGAACCGGAUGCCCAAAUGAGAAGAGCAUUUUGGGUCACAGCCCACCUGCAAGUUAGGAUCUGUAACAUAAGAGCCAGAACACCAGAUAGGCAGAGAGAGCCUGCCUGGUUUCUGAACUGAGUGAGGCAAAUGUGGAAGAAAUUCUAAACCUUGGGGGUGGGUUCUAUUUUUUAUAGCCAUUCACACCCUAGGGGCAUUACAGAGACCUUACAGACCUAAGGAUUAAGAAGAUUAAUGGAGUCGAUUUGAUACCAAGUUUCAUUUCUCAGCCUUUUCUUUUAAAUUUAUUAUGCUUUUCUUUUCUUUUUUCAUUUAAAAUAAGG
rnacentral:lncRNA from 1 species